UUGGCCCGUGAUCUUCAGAAAAAGCAGAGGGCAUGCUUUUAUACAUAGGCUGUCGCCAGGUGCAAGUAAAAAGCCUAUGUUGACACCUACUUGUAUGCAAGAGUAGAUUAAUACAAAUAUGACGUAAUAUUCGUAUUUGGCAUUCUACAAAAAUACAUAAAUGAUAGAAGGGGUCUGAAUUCGUCCCCUGUACGUCCACAUCAGCGUUUUCAAAAUGGAACGGACAAUUGGAUUUCUCUGACUGUGAGUGUGUGGGUGGGAAGGAUUUUAUCAGAAAAAAAUAAAUUGUCUCAGAAAUUGAUUGAAAAAUAAUUAUGCUUCAAACUGUUGAACAAAAAGAACAUGUGGGCAACCAAAAAUAAAUUGUUGCAAGGUGUGUUUUUGUUAAACAAAAGUUUUAUUUAGGCUCAUAGUUUAUACCUGGUUUUGCAUCCGUAGCUGAAAAAAUAUCUAGUCUCCCUCACAUUCUUACUAGCCCACUAGCCCGUGUCAGUUUGUCGAAUGUAAAAGGUAUUGUGAAGGCUAGCAUAACAGAGGGUUCUUAUAUGGUAUCACUAUUCGGCCCAGCAAACGUUUAAGGUUAAUGUCUACAAGUGAUGAUCCAUAUGAAAAUGAACAAAAUUCGCCCUGUUUCGAGUAAUGGAGGCACGAAAAACACCCAGCUUCACCAGCACGUUUUUCAAACUCUAAACUGAUGUAUGCAACGUUUCAGUUGUAAGUUACAACUUAAGCCUGGUGUUCAGACGAAAUAAAUCCGUCUGUUUUCAGCCUCUGCAAUGCCAUUAGGCUUGACCACGCCGGAAGCUGUCGAUGAGCCUCGUUCUGAGUCCUCGAACUCCGUAACGUAGUUACCGUUGCCGUUACCCACGUCCCUUCUGUUUACAACAGAAAAACGAUCGCAUUUGCUCCGCUGACCUCUACGUUUCGCUCACUGCUGUAUCUUUCCAAGUGUGCCUUCUUCCAAGAUGAACACAAGGCUUCACAUUCAAGCUCGGGAGGACAUAAUUCGCUAUUAUGGCACUCCUGCGGCUGUGAGUUUGUGGCCGUCUCAGGAUGAGGAGUCCGACUGU